rnacentral:lncRNA from 1 species
CCUAUUCUCCUACUUCUAGUUCCUUAGAAUCUUUCGAAGUUCCUUCCCCUGCUCAGAGCGUAGGUUCGCCAAAGGAACCUGGAUCACCUCACAACUCACCUCAAGACAUGGCCAAUGUCCAUUCUCCUACUUCUACAUCCUUGGAAUCUGUCGAAGUUUCUUCCCCUGCUCACAGCGAAGAUGCGCCAAAGGGACCUGGAUCACCUCACUACCCACCUCAAGACAUGGCUAAUGUCUAUUCUCCCCAAUCUGCUACCCCCCCUGGCACAUCUCCUUCGAGUUCCAUCAUUGCCGUGGAAGAGUGCGAGUCACCGUC